rnacentral:misc_RNA from 1 species
AACGCACCUUGCGCUCCUUGGUAUUCCGAGGAGCAUGCCUGUUUGAGUGUCAUUAAUAUAUCAACCUCUUCAGCUUUUUUGUUUGACGAGUGUUGGAUGUGGGGGUUUGUUUUGCUGGGCUUUUUUAUAAAGAGGUCAGCUCCCCUGAAAUGCAUUAGCGGAAACAUUUGCAGAUCGUUCAUUGGUGUGAUAAUUAUCUACGCUAUUGACGUGAAGCAGUUCAGCUUCUAACAGUCCAUUGACUUGGACAAUUUUCAUUAAUGUGACCUCAAAUCAGGUAGGACUACCCGCUGAACUUAA